ACGGAAGGCAGCAGUGGGGAAUAUUGCACAAUGGGGGAAACCCUGAUGCAGCGACGCCGCGUGAGUGAAGAAGUAUUUCGGUAUGUAAAGCUCUAUCAGCAGGAAAGAAAAUGACGGUACCUGACUAAGAAGCCCCGGCUAACUACGUGCCAGCAGCCGCGGUAAUACGUAGGGGGCAAGCGUUAUCCGGAUUUACUGGGUGUAAAGGGAGCGUAGACGGCUUUGCAAGUCUGAAGUGAAAGCCCGGGGCUCAACCCCGGAACUGCUUUGGAAACUGUAGAGCUAGAGUGCAGGAGAGGUAAGUGGAAUUCCUAGUGUAGCGGCGAAAUGCGUAGAUAUUAGGAGGAACACCAGUGGCGAAGGCGGCUUACUGGACUGUAACUGACGUUGAGGCUCGAAGGCGUGGGGAGCAAACAGGAUUAGAUACCCUGGUA
rnacentral:rRNA from 1 species